GAUUUGAAUAUUUGUCACCUCCAAACUCAUGUUGAAUCUUAAUCUUCAAUGUGGCAAUAUUGAGAGAUGGGCCCUUUAAGAGGUGAAUGGGUCAUGAGGGCUCUGCCUUCAUGAAUGGAUUCAUCUAUCCAUGGAUUAUGGGUGAAUGGAUUAAUGGGUUACUGUGGGAGUGGAACUGGUGGCUUUUUAAGAAGAGGAGGACAGACCUGAGCUGGCGUGCUCAGCCCAUGUGAGGCCCUGGGCUGCCUCAGGACCCUGCAGAGAGUCCCCACUAGCCAGAAGACCUUCACCAGAUGCAGCCCCUCAAUCUUGGACUUCUCAGCUUCCAAAACUCCUGAACCUUGAUAGACAGAUGUUCAUUAAACAUUUGGAAAUGGAAUGAGUGAAAGGAAUCUUAGCCCUGCCAUUUACUCUGCACCAUUGAGCAAGUUAUUUACUGAAUCGGAGCCUCUCUUUCCUCAUCCGUCAAACAGAGAGAAGGAAGCCUCCAUCAUGGGCUGCUGUGGGAACACGUUAAGCUUUUGUGCAAUUCCCAGGGUAAAUAGUCAAUCAAUGGAGAAAGGUGUAAUUAUGAGUCAUGGAAUUGGCUCUGACACUGGAGAAUGCCCUGCCUGCCCAGCAGCUCCACCUCCAUCAGGUCCCUGCAGCUUUCUGAAGGCACAAGAGGCAAGCUUGAGAGGAGCUGGAAAAUAUGGGAAAAGAGAAUCACAAGGAGGCUCAACGAGGUGGCCAGUGCCGGAGCACCUUUGGACCUAGUUCUCUAUAUUAAAAUUCUUUUCUUAAACCGCCUGGUUGGGAUCUGCUUUCUUGAUUAGAGACUGAAGUUUCUUCUCAGAGAAACCUUCCCUCACCAUCCUGGGAAAAGUAGCUCCAGGCUCUUUCCAUCGUCUUAUACCACUGGUACCCUUCUCAGCACUAACCAGUACCUGAAAUGGUGAGUUCAUGAAUUGCUUCCUUGUUUAUUGUCUUUCUCUUCCAGCGAGAAUGCAGACUCCUCAAUGGCGGACAUGUGGUCACCCUUAUAUCCCCAGCACCCAGCAGAGGGCUUGGUGCAUAGCAGGUGCUCAGUGAAUGUUUAUGUUCUGUCAUUGGAUGCCACUAAUCUAAUGCGUGGCCUUAGGUUACAGGCACUUUCUGUCCCAAGUUCUCAUAUUCUCACCCGCCAGUAAGAGUUGGGCUUGAUGUUAAAUAUCUGAGAUUCCGUGACUUUGCUUUGCAAUUACUAUUAUAACUCAGCCAAUUUGGAAACAACUCAAAAUUUCAAAUUUCCUUGUCCAGAGUUGUCAGCCUGGCUAACAAAUGUCAGAAAUCACUAACUCCUUAGAGUGCUUUGUUCUACUGGAAGGCCAUUUGUCCUGGAAAGCCAUCGCUCUAUAUUAAGUGCUCAAGUGUGUGUACUCAUUAGGAAGAAAUGGAACAGAGAAGCCAUCAUUCAGUUUAAGCAAUGACCUGACAACAUGGGCAGCUUGCACAAGCCAUUCCAAAUACCAGUAAAUACGUAAUUAAGGUGUUGGAGGCCAGCAAAACUCAGCCAAGUUCAUUCGAAGCUGUCUCUAGCAAUGCAUGGGAAAGGCUGGAGGCUUUGUGUUUUGAACUCUAAGGCAGCCACAUGCUGAGCAGUCAUUUUUGUGUGGACACACCGCAGCACUAGGAUUCUGUUGAAACAGGCAUUGGGUACUAAGUAUCUGGGCAGCUUCUCUCACCCCAUUGCCACUGCACUCCUCGGGGCCCCCUCAGUUUUUGGUCCAGACCUUUCUCCCAUGUCUCACUGGCUUUUCUGCUUCCAGAACACCCUCUCCUCUGCCCCAUUCCCCUCAAUCCCUCCUCCACAGUGGACUUUCUCAAAUGCUUGGAGGACUGAAUCACCCACCCACUUAAUACCCUUAAUAAGUUCCACUGGCUUCAGGACAAUUUCCUGGCUCCUCAGCACGCAUGCCAGGUUACUUAGGGUCUAUUCUCCAACAACUUCUGAUGCCUGACUUUAGCCACCCUCUCUUGGUGUGUGCUUUCUUUAAUUUGAUUUUAUAUAUGUAUAUAUAUUUUACACAGGGUCUCACUUUUGUCUCCCAGGCUGGAGUGCCGUGGUGUGAUCACGGCUCACUGUAGCCUUGAGUUCCAGGACUCAAGUGAUCCUCCCACCUCAGCCUCCGGAAUAGCUGGUACUACAGGCACCUGGCUAAUUAAAAAAAAAAUUAUUUGUAGAGAUGAAGUCUGACUAUAUUGCCCAGGUGUGUCUCAAACUCCUGGGCUCAAGUGAUUCUCCUGCCUUGGUUUCCCAAAGUGUUGAGAUUACAGAUGUGAGCCACUGCACCCGGCCUCGAUGUGUGCUUUAAACACCAUGUUUCUUGUGGUCUUCCCCUUCUACCUCCUGGUUUACCCCCCAGUAUCUUUGCUUAUGCUUCUGUUCCCUCCUAGAAAACCCCUUUCUUCCUCCUUCAUCUGAUGCUAACACAUUCCUUUUUUUCCUCAAUUUUUCAAUAAAGUAUGUGGUAUCCAAGGGAUAUAAAGAAUACACUACCAAGCUUAAGAAACAAAGUGUAUCAACAUGGUUAGAGCUCUUUGUGUAUUCCUUCCUAAUCCUUUCCUUACUGCUCCCAGGUAACCAUCAUUCUGAAUCUCGUGUUUUACCUUUUUAUAAUGAUCCUUGUACGUGAAUGUAUGCAUGCAUCUCUAAGCAGUAUGCACUGUUGCUUAAAAUGCUUUCACAUGUUAUGUGAAUGAUAUCAUACUCUCUAUAUUCUCCUAUAACUUGCCAUUUUUGCCCUCUAUCAUGUUUUUGAGGUGCUCUGUGUUAAUGCAUAGAGCUCCAGUUCACACCCAUUUUCAGUAAAGUACAGUAUUUAAAUGUGUGUGUGUUUCUGUGAGUGUGUGUGUUUAUUCUCUCGUGGGACAUUUGUUUUUGCUAUUAUUAACCUGCUGUGCACACUGCUAACCACAUCUCCUUUGCACAUGGACAAGAGCUCCUCGAGGGUAUCAUGCAGAAAUGGAAGUGCAACUCAUAGGCUCAGCAUAUCUUCAGUUUUACCGUAUGUUGCCAAAUAAUUUGUUAAAAUAGAGCAGUUUAUAUGCUGGUCAGUGGUGUAUAAAACAUUUCUCUUCAGUCUACAUGGUUGCCUAACCUUUUCUAUUGACAGGUUUACAAAUUCUGACAGUAAAUGGAUGUAAAAUGGAAUCCCAUUGUUGUUUUGACUUGAUAUUUUCCUGAUUGUAGGCAGACUGUUGUAUUUCCUCUUCUGUGAAAUGCCUGUGUAUAACUUUUGUCUCUAUUUCUGUUUUGCCUCUAACAAUUUUUUAAUGAUUUGAAAUAUAUUUUGGAUAAUCUUUUUAAAAGAGAUGCAGGGUCAUGGUGGUCUUGCUGUGUUGCCCAGUCUGGCCUCAAACUCCUGGACUCAAGGGAUUCUCCCACUUUAGCCUUCCUAGGAGCUGGGACUACAAGCAUGCACCCCUAUGGCUGGCAAUUUUUUGUUGUUGUUGGUGAUAUAUUGCAAGUAUUUUUUCCCUGUUUGUGGUUUGCCUUUUUUUGUUUGACAAAACAUUUUUGUAUUAUUUGUAUCUGAUUAGAAAAAUUUUUUUUAUUUACUUAAAUUGUUCUAUUUUUUUCUUUUAUGAUUUAUGCUUUUUGUCUUUUUUCUCCCAUAUAAUCUGAGGUAGGGAUCCAGUUUAUUUGUUAUGUGGAUAGCCAAUUUUCCCAGCACCAUUUAUCUAAUAGUCAACCCUUCCCCCUUCCAAAUGAGUCAACUUUUUUGGUUGAAUAAAAGCAAUGAUCUCAGAUAUUCUUGCCUAUUUUAUAAUUUUAAAAGGAAUGUUUUUCAGUGCUUUACCAUCAAAUAUGAUGUUUAUGUAGCUAUUUUAAAUUUAUUCUGUUGGAUUAAGUAAAGUACCAUAUUUUUCUAAAUAGCCAGGAACUUUUAUCAUGAAUGAGGGUUAAAUUUUAUCUAAUGUCAUUUUCUGUCAUUAAUAAGAUGCCAAUAUUUGCCUUUAAUCUCUUAAUAUAGUGAAAUUACCAAUAACUUACUAAUAAUAAACCAUCUUUAUUUCUCAAAUAACCCAAUUUGAUGAUGAUGUAUUAUUAUUUUAUAGGCUUUGGUAGAUUUGGGUUGUUAAUGUCCUGCUAGUACUCUUGCAUACAUACUUCUGAGAGAUGUUAGCCAGAGAUUUUCCUUUCCCAAAUGCUUUUACCUGGUUGAAUUACCAAGGUUACACUAGCUUCACAAAAUGGUCUCACCCUUUCUAGUCUCUGAAAGAGUUUAUGUAAGUUGGAAUGAAAAGUUUGGUAGACCUCUCUGGUAAAACCAUCUGGGCCUUGCAGUUUUUGGUGGAAACUAAUUUAAUUUGUUUGGUGGUCAUAGAACUGUUCAGGUUUUCUAUUUCCUCCUGAGUCAGCUUUGGUCACUGUGUUCAUUGGGACUUAAGAAUAAGCUUGGCCGGGCGCAAUGGCUCAAGCCUGUAAUCCCAACACUUUGGGAAGCCAAGGCGGGCGGAUCAUGAGGUCAGGAGUUUGAGACCAGCCUGGCCAACAUGGUGAAACCCUGUCUCUACUAAAAAUACAAAAAUUAGCCAGGCAUGGUGGUGCAAGCCUGUAAUCCCAGCUACUGGGAGGCUGAGGCAGGAGAAUUGCUUGAACCUGGGAGGCAGAAUUUGCAGUGAGCCGAGAUCAUGCCACUGCACUCUAGCCUGGGUGACAGAGCAAUACUCCAUCUUGG